rnacentral:rRNA from 1 species
GUUGUAUGGUUAAGUGACUAAGCGUACACGGUGGAUGCCUUGGCAGUCAGAGGCGAUGAAAGACGUAGUAACUUGCGAUAAGCCCAGAUUAGGUAGUAACAACCAUUUGAGUCUGGGAUUUCUGAAUGGGGAAACCCACUUACAUAAGUAAGUAUCAUUAACUGAAUACAUAGGUUAAUGAGGCGAACCGGGGGAACUGAAACAUCUAAGUACCCCGAGGAAAAGAAAUCAACCGAGAUUCCGAAAGUAGCGGCGAGCGAAAUUGGACUAGCCCUUAAGCUUUACACGCGUUAGACGAACGGUCUGGAAAGUCCGACGAUACAGGGUGAUAGUCCCGUAGUUGACGACGUGUGUUCAGUGAAAUCGAGUAGGGCGGGACACGUGAUAUCCUGUCUGAAUAUGGGGGGACCAUCCUCCAAGGCUAAAUACUACUGACUGACCGAUAGUGAACCAGUACCGUGAGGGAAAGGCGAAAAGAACCCCUGUGAGGGGAGUGAAAUAGAACCUGAAACCGUGUACGUACAAGCAGUAGGAGCAGGCUUUGUCCUGUGACUGCGUACCUUUUGUAUAAUGGGUCAGCGACUUAUAUUCAGUGGCAAGGUUAACCAUCUAGGGGAGCCGUAGGGAAACCGAGUCUUAACUGGGCGUUCAGUCUCUGGAUAUAGACCCGAAACCAGGUGAUCUAGCCAUGGGCAGGUUGAAGGUUGAGUAACAUCAACUGGAGGACCGAACCGACUAAUGUUGAAAAAUUAGCGGAUGACUUGUGGCUAGGGGUGAAAGGCCAAUCAAACCUGGAGAUAGCUGGUUCUCCCCGAAAGCUAUUUAGGUAGCGCCUCGGACGAAUACUACUGGGGGUAGAGCACUGUUAAGGCUAGGGGGUCAUCCCGACUUACCAACCCUUUGCAAACUCCGAAUACCAGUAAGUACUAUCCGGGAGACACACGGCGGGUGCUAACGUCCGUCGUGGAGAGGGAAACAACCCAGACCGCCAGCUAAGGUCCCAAAUUACUACUAAGUGGGAAACGAUGUGGGAAGGCUCAGACAGCCAGGAUGUUGGCUUAGAAGCAGCCAUCAUUUAAAGAAAGCGUAAUAGCUCACUGGUCGAGUCGGCCUGCGCGGAAGAUGUAACGGGGCUAAGUAGUAAACCGAAGCUGCGGCAAUAUACUUUUGUAUAUUGGGUAGGGGAGCGUUCUGUAAGCGGUUGAAGGUGUGUGGUAACGCAUGCUGGACGUAUCAGAAGUGCGAAUGCUGACAUGAGUAACGAUAAAGGGGGUGAAAAACCUCCUCGCCGGAAGACCAAGGGUUCCUGUCCAACGUUAAUCGGGGCAGGGUAAGUCGACCCCUAAGGCGAGGCCGAAAGGCGUAGUCGAUGGGAAACGGGUUAAUAUUCCCGUACUUCUUACAAUUGCGAUGGGGGGACGGAGAAGGCUAGGUGGGCCUGGCGACGGUUGUCCAGGUUCAAGUGCGUAGGCUUAAGAGUUAGGUAAAUCCGGCUCUUUUUAAGGCUGAGACACGACGUCGAGCACCUACGGGUGUGAAGUCAUUGAUGCCAUGCUUCCAGGAAAAGCCUCUAAGCUUCAGAUUGUAAGGAAUCGUACCCCAAACCGACACAGGUGGUCGGGUAGAGAAUACCAAGGCGCUUGAGAGAACUCGGGUGAAGGAACUAGGCAAAAUGGUACCGUAACUUCGGGAGAAGGUACGCUCUUGAUGGUGAAGUCCCUUGCGGAUGGAGCUGACGAGAGUCGCAGAUACCAGGUGGCUGCAACUGUUUAUUAAAAACACAGCACUGUGCAAAAUCGUAAGAUGACGUAUACGGUGUGACGCCUGCCCGGUGCCGGAAGGUUAAUUGAUGGGGUUAGACUUCGGUCGAAGCUCUUGAUCGAAGCCCCGGUAAACGGCGGCCGUAACUAUAACGGUCCUAAGGUAGCGAAAUUCCUUGUCGGGUAAGUUCCGACCUGCACGAAUGGCGUAAUGAUGGCCACGCUGUCUCCACCCGAGACUCAGUGAAAUUGAAAUCGCUGUGAAGAUGCAGUGUACCCGCGGCUAGACGGAAAGACCCCGUGAACCUUUACUACAGCUUGGCACUGAACAUUGACCCUACAUGUGUAGGAUAGGUGGGAGGCUUUGAAGCACGUACGCCAGUAUGUGUGGAGCCGUCCUUGAAAUACCACCCUUGUAGUGUUGAUGUUCUAACGUCGACCCCUAAUCGGGGUUGCGGACAGUGCCUGGUGGGUAGUUUGACUGGGGCGGUCUCCUCCCAAAGAGUAACGGAGGAGCACGAAGGUGGGCUAAUCACGGUUGGACAUCGUGAGGUUAGUGCAAUGGCAUAAGCCCGCUUGACUGCGAGAAUGACAAUUCGAGCAGGUGCGAAAGCAGGUCAUAGUGAUCCGGUGGUUCUGAAUGGAAGGGCCAUCGCUCAACGGAUAAAAGGUACUCCGGGGAUAACAGGCUGAUACCGCCCAAGAGUUCAUAUCGACGGCGGUGUUUGGCACCUCGAUGUCGGCUCAUCACAUCCUGGGGCUGAAGUCGGUCCCAAGGGUAUGGCUGUUCGCCAUUUAAAGUGGUACGCGAGCUGGGUUUAGAACGUCGUGAGACAGUUCGGUCCCUAUCUGCCGUGGGCGUUGGAAGAUUGAAGGGGGCUGCUCCUAGUACGAGAGGACCGGAGUGGACGAACCUCUGGUGUUCGGGUUGUGUCGCCAGACGCAUUGCCCGGUAGCUAAGUUCGGAAUCGAUAACCGCUGAAAGCAUCUAAGCGGGAAGCGAGCCCUGAGAUGAGUCUUCCCUGAUACUUUAAGUAUCCUAAAGGGUUGUCGGAGACUACGACGUUGAUAGGUCAGGUGUGUAAGUGCUGUGAGGCAUUGAGCUAACUGAUACUAAUUGCCCGUGAGGCUUAACCAUACAACACCCAAGGGGUUU